AGUGGCGGACGGGUGAGUAACGCGUGGGAACCUGCCCUGGAGCGGGGGACAACCACUGGAAACGGUGGCUAAUACCGCAUACGCCCUUUGGGGGAAAGGCUUCGGCCACUCCUGGAUGGUCCCGCGUCUGAUUAGCUUGUUGGUGAGGUAAUGGCCUACCAAGGCAACGAUCUUUAGCUGGUCUGAGAGGAUGAUCAGCCACACUGGGACUGAGACACGGCCCAGACUCC
rnacentral:rRNA from 1 species